GUUUACACUAUAUUAACAUCUCUAAAGCAUGUCAGUCACGUACGCGGGUUGGAAUAGUUGCUACGCAGCUGAUCUAUAACAGAUUUAGAAUUCAAAACAAACAACGUCAUUCAUCAGAAUUCUUAAUUGAGAUGACUUCAAUGGCAGUGGAUGCAGCUCUCUGGAUGAUGGCGGUAGGGUGUGUGAGUCUGGUCUUCAGCAGAGGCACAUGCUCCAGCAGCUGUGCCCGGGCCCUAGGAACCUCUGCCAGGACUGUAAGGGCACGGAGGGCAUUGGCACACACCGCCGUAUUCUCGCUCACCACCAGCUGCAGGAGAGGGGCGAGGGCACCUGCGUUCAGCGCCUCGGUUUUACCUGGAAACAGGAAGAUAAUGAGAUCUUGCCUAGUCUAAUCUAAUCUAAAGGUUUUCAGACUGGGGUCCAGGACCCCCAAAGGGCCACAAGGGAGUGCUAAGAGGUGAAUUUGAUGUAAAAACAGUGUAAAAAUUUAGUUUAAUAAUAAGACAUUUGUAAAAAUAAAAAUAAUCAAAUCAAAUCUAUGGAUUCUGAUAAUAUUACUGUUAUUUUCUUACUGGUCGGAAAUUAUGAAAAUUAUUUUAUUCUGCAGACUUUUUUUAUGAUUCUUUUCAGGUUUAUACAUCUGAAAGUACUUUGAUGGACAGUUGAGAAAUGACAGGAAGUGAAAUUGGAGGGCACAUGAUCGACAAAAUUCCACAAACUCUGACUAUGGACUAUGGCAUCAAAAAGUCUGAAAACCCCUGAUCUAAUUGAUAACAGCCGUGUUCAUAAUGGUCCCUGCAGCAUUAGCGACAACUCCUUGGUCAUCAUCCGACAACAGCUUGACCAACACUUGCAGAAGAUUCUCCUCACACACCUUCAUCUUCCCAUCUGCAGGCACACUAGGAGAGAACAGG